rnacentral:rRNA from 1 species
GGAAUAUUGCACAAUGGGCGCAAGCCUGAUGCAGCGACGCCGCGUGAGGGAUGAAGGCCUUCGGGUUGUAAACCUCUUUCAGUAGGGAAGAAGCCGAUCUUCUGGGUUGGUGACGGUACCUGCAGAAGAAGCGCCGGCUAACUACGUGCCAGCAGCCGCGGUAAUACGUAGGGCGCAAGCGUUAUCCGGAAUUAUUGGGCGUAAAGAGCUCGUAGGCGGUUUGUCGCGUCUGCCGUGAAAGUCCGGGGCUUAACCCCGGAUCUGCGGUGGGUACGGGCAGACUAGAGUGCAGUAGGGGAGACUGGAAUUCCUGGUGUAGCGGUGAAAUGCGCAGAUAUCAGGAGGAACACCGAUGGCGAAGGCAGGUCUCUGGGCUGUAACUGACGCUGAGGAGCGAAAGCAUGGGGAGCGAACAGGAUUAGAUACCCGAG